AACAGGAUUAGAUACCCUGGUAGUCCACGCCGUAAACGAUGUCUACUUGGAGGUUGUGCCCUUGAGGCGUGGCUUCCGGAGCUAACGCGUUAAGUAGACCGCCUGGGGAGUACGGCCGCAAGGUUAAAACUCAAAUGAAUUGACGGGGGCCCGCACAAGCGGUGGAGCAUGUGGUUUAAUUCGAUGCAACGCGAAGAACCUUACCUGGUCUUGACAUCCACAGAAGAAUCCAGAGAUGGAUUUGUGCCUUCGGGAACUGUGAGACAGGUGCUGCAUGGCUGUCGUCAGCUCGUGUUGUGAAAUGUUGGGUUAAGUCCCGCAACGAGCGCAACCCUUAUCCUUUGUUGCCAGCGAUUAGGUCGGGAACUCAAAGGAGACUGCCAGUGAUAAACUGGAGGAAGGUGGGGAUGACGUCAAGUCAUCAUGGCCCUUACGACCAGGGCUACACACGUGCUACAAUGGCGCAUACAAAGAGAAGCGACCUCGCGAGAGCAAGCGGACCUCAUAAAGUGCGUCGUAGUCCGGAUUGGAGUCUGCAACUCAACUCCAUGAAGUCGGAAUCGCUAGUAAUCGUGGAUCAGAAUGCCACGGUGAAUACGUUCCCGGGCCUUGUACACACCGCCCGUCACACCAUGGGAGUGGGUUGCAAAAGAAGUAGGUAGCUUAACCUUCGGGAGGGCGCUUACCACUUUGUGAUUCAUGACUGGGGUGAAGUCGUAACAAGGUAACC
rnacentral:rRNA from 1 species